rnacentral:rRNA from 1 species
GCCGAUAAGUCAGUGGUGAAAGCCCAUAGCUCAACUAUGGAACUGCCAUUGAUACUGUCGGUCUUGAGUAUAAGUGAGGUUGGCGGAAUGUGUGGUGUAGCGGUGAAAUGCUUAGAUAUGACACAGAACACCGAUUGCGAAGGCAGCUGGCCAACUUAUAACUGACGCUGAGGGACGAAAGUGUGGGGAUCAAACAGGAUUAGAUACCCUGGUAGUCCACACCGUAAACGAUGAUCACUAGAUUUUGGCCGCAAGGUCAGAGUCCAAGCGAAAGUGUUUAGUGAUCCACCUGGGGAGUACGUCCGCAAGGAUGAAACUCAAAGGAAUUGACGGGGGCCCGCACAAGCGGUGGAGCAUGUGGUUUAAUUCGAUGAUACGCGAGGAACCUUACCUGGGCUUGAAAGUUAGUGACCGACCCUGAAAGGGAUCUUUCCGCAAGGACACGAAACUAGGUGCUGCAUGGCUGUCGUCAGCUCGUGCCGUGAGGUGUCGGAUUAAGUUCCAUAACGAGCGCAACCCCUAUCUUUAGUUGCCAGCGAGUAAUGUCGGGGACUCUAAAGAAACUGCCCGUGUAAGCGGUGAGGAAGGUGGGGAUGACGUCAAGUCAUCACGGCCCUUACGUCCAGGGCUACACACGUGCUACAAUGGUAGGGACAGUGAGUUGCAAGCCGGUAACGGUAAGCUAAUCUACAAACCCUAUCUCAGUUCGGAUUGAGGUCUGCAACUCGACCUCAUGAAGCUGGAAUCGCUAGCAAGGGAUAUCGUGACUGGGUCUUGUACACCCCGCCCGUCACACCAUGGAAGUUGGUUCUACCUUAAAGCAGAUUGC